rnacentral:tRNA from 1 species
GGAGUUAGCUCAGUGGUAGAGCACUUGCCUAGCAAGCACAAGGCCCUGGGUUCGGUCCUCAGCUCCA